UACGGAGGGUGCAAGCGUUAAUCGGAAUUACCGGGCGUAAAGCGCACGUAGGUGGUUUUCUAAGUCAGCUGUGAAAUCCCCGGGCUCAACCUGGGACUUGCAGUUGAAACUGGAAAGCUAGAGUAGGGUAGAGGGGUGUGGAAUUCCAGGUGUAGCGGUGAAAUGCGUAGAUAUCUGGAGGAACAUCAGUGGCGAAGGCGACACCCUGGACUCAUACUGACACUGAGGUGCGAAAGCGUGGGGAGCAAACAGG
rnacentral:rRNA from 1 species